rnacentral:rRNA from 1 species
GACGAACGCUGGCGGCGUGCUUAACACAUGCAAGUCGAGCGGUAAGGCCCUUUCGGGGGUACACGAGCGGCGAACGGGUGAGUAACACGUGGGUGACCUGCCCUCAGCUCUGGGAUAAGCCUGGGAAACCGGGUCUAAUACUGGAUAUGACUCCAUGACGCAUGUUGUGGGGUGGAAAGCCUUGUGCGGCUGAGGAUGGGCCCGCGGCCUAUCAGCUUGUUGGUGGGGUGANGGCCUACCAAGGCGACGACGGGUAGCCGGCCUGAGAGGGCGACCGGCCACACUGGGACUGAGACACGGCCCAGACUCCUACGGGAGGCAGCAGUGGGGAAUCUUGCGCAAUGGGCGAAAGCCUGACGCAGCGACGCCGCGUGAGGGAGU